rnacentral:tRNA from 5 species
GCGCCCAUAGCUCAGCUGGUAGAGCAGAUCCCUCUUAAGGAUAAGGUCGGGGGUUCGAUCCCCUCUGGGCGCACUA